GAAAAAAUCUUGGACUUGGACCUCUCUCAUUUGAGCCCACAGGUCCACAAAAAUCAGGUUAUAAAUUCAGAGUUUCAGUGAAACAAAAGGCCAUUCUAUUCCUAUUACCCUGUUUGGGAAAAAGAUAACCCACAGGUCCACAAAAAUCAGGUUAUAAAUUCAGAGUUUCAGUGAAACAAAAGGCCAUUCUAUUCCUAUUACCCUGUUUGGGAAAAAGAUAGUGAGAGAAGAACCCUGGGGAAAAAGAUAGUGAGAAAAGAGCUAACAGAGUUCAGAGCAACCUCCGGGCAACUCUGAAAGGUUCAUUCUGACUCACACACUUUCAGCUCAAGCAAACCCUAACAUUGGUUUGC
rnacentral:lncRNA from 1 species